rnacentral:misc_RNA from 1 species
GAUGAAGGAACGUAGCGAAAUGCGAUAAGUAAUGUGAAUUGCAGAAUUCAGUGAAUCAUCGAAUCUUUGAACGCACAUUGCGCCCGCCAGUAUUCUGGCGGGCAUGCCUGUUCGAGCGUCAUUUCAACCCUCAAGCACAGCUUGGUGUUGGGACUCGCGUUAAUUCGCGUUCCCCAAAUUGAUUGGCGGUCACGUCGAGCUUCCAUAGCGUAGUAGUAAAACCCUCGUUACUGGUAAUCGUCGCGGCCACGCCGUUAAACCCCAACUUCUGAAUGUUGACCUCGGAUCAGGUAGGAAUACCCGCUGAACUUAAGCAUAUCAAUAAGCGGAGGA